AAACCUGUAACAGAUGUGCUACAGACGAAGUCAAGUCUAACAGGAAGUUUUUGGCAGGAUCUUGAGAGUCUGGAUGAGGUGCGCUGGAAAAGGGAAUGUCUCUGAAAAUAAAACCAAAGAAAUGAAACAGGUAGCAUAAGGUACAGUGCGGCAAUACCACGGUGUCAAUACCAAAUAGCAGCCAAUAACAAGAGCAUCACACAUCCUGGAAUAAGUUAUAUAUCCUUAGAAAAUUUCUCUCCUGGAGAAUGGAGGUAUUUAAACAAAUUCCCUAUUAUUACUCUGUUGUCCUAUUUAUCUCCUGUUGCCAAUAUAAUUUCCUUCAUGGCCUGAAAACGUAGUACAGAAUUAAAACUAAAUACAUGAUUAUGUAAAACAAACAA